CAAAAGUAAGCCACAAGGCUAGUAAAAAUGUCAAGUUGGAAAAUAGACUCUACCUCUUGUUUGAAGGAACUGCAAAGAAUUUGUGGUGCUAUUUAAGAUAUCCAAUAUGGUACAUUUAGAUAGGUAUAACCCACAGGUUAAAAUUCUUUGAGGUCUUCGGUAAUUUUGAAAGGUAUCAGGCAUCCUGAGGACAAAAAGUAAGGGAAUUUUUACCCUAGAUCCAGUGACACAAAAUACACAGAUACUAGUUCUAGCCAUUGCUAGGCUAAGAUAUUUCUAGACAGGUUUAGAACUGAUACUGUUUACAUAAUAUGUUCAGGAGUAUUUAUGUAUAACCUACAUUUUAAUUUUAUAGGCAAUCUGUUUAUCAUUUUUAUUGGUAAUAGUUUAUGUAAAUAAAGCUGGGCAUUUAUAUCGUGAUUGUAUUGUUUUGAUUGCCGGCGUCCUCCAUCUAUUGUGCAAAGUAACUCCAUCUUGGAAGAAACUUACUCCAAACAGAAAAUCAGAUCCAACAGGUUUAUCUCUGUAUUGUAAUACCAAGGUUGUUGGGGUAGAAAAAUGUUACAUAGAACACGGUGCUUUUCAUUUGGAUUUUUCAUAGUUCAGCUGCUCAGAGACUGAUUGCUAGACCUUAGAGGUUAAGAAGAGGCUUUAAGUAAAAGCUGAAAGAAAUUUUCCAUAACAUUUUAGUAAAUAUUUAGAAGCAUGGUGCAGAACCCAAGAUAGAGGGACAAAGGUAGAUGGGGAAAUAAACGCUGUCGCUUAUUGGGUGAUCUGGAACAAUUUACUCAAUGACUUUAGUCUCAGCGUUUAAUUUUUAAGUCAUGAACAUUAGAUGAGAUGACCUGGCAGAGUGCCUAUCACAUCGUAAGCACUGAAGUAGGAAUACCUCUUACUAAGUAUUGCUUUAGGAUUUGUCACAGGGUGUAACACUAAUGGGCAUUCUCUAAUUUUUUCUUUUCGACCCAGCACCAGAACAGAUGGUACCUGAUAGGUUUGGUACUGCCUAUGGGGAGUCAUAGGUGCAUCUAAGGGUGACUGAUAAUAGAACUGGCUUUGAUGAUCAGUGGACUUAAAGGCAUAUAAAGGACAUAAUGGUGCCUAGAACAGGUUAAUAGGGUCGAGUGAGAAUGGUACUACCUGAAGGCUUUACAGUGUUGGCAGAGAAAUUCUGGGUAUAAAGUUCCAAAAUUGGUUCAAGAGAUGACCUCAUCUGUCUCUUGAGGAUUCAUAAUUCUCCAGAGUGUGAGCUUGAGGGGACUAGGGAACUGCACCAUUGCAUAUGGAGGGAGCAAACAAUGAACAGAGCUUAUUACUGGUAAUGAAUCCCCAUAUUAAUUCUUGAGCUUGUGUGGCUUGAGGCAAGAGUUAAGUAAUUGGUACAUGAUUGGUCAUGAUGCACUUAAAAUUGUCUUCUUAAUUAAACUUUGAGAAAGAGUUAUCUUAUAGAUGUAAGUUUCUGAAAUGAAGAUAUGCAGAGAAAACAUCAAAAUAGACUUAGGUUCUAUAAAUGUUCCAGCACAUCACAACUUUGUACUCACAAAAUUGAGAUGCCCAGAGUCCCUCUAUUCAGAAAUAGUGAACUGUGGAAAGUUUCGCUUGUUUCAUUGACUGGAAGGCAAGUUUCUUCACUUUCACUCAGCCCAGCUAAUACAGAAAAUCACAAUAUUGCCACAGAGUAAUGAUUUCAAGUACAAUUGCUUCUCCUAGGUGGUAGUCUCUGGAGAAAACCAUGAAAGUAGAUUACUUGUAAAAGCACCAUUCUAAAUGUACAACUUGGUGAAAUAAAUGUGUGUCACUAGUAAAAGAUAAUUUCUGUCAUUUAGUUUUCCUUUCAUUGAGUUAUAGCUUCAAGUUAUCUAUAUACCACACAUGUAAUCCUUUACACCGAUACUCUACAGAUGCAUAUGCCAACACAAUCCAGAAUAUCAAAAUAAUUAGUGGCACUAUUAUUAACAAAAAUAAUAACUGUAAGUAUAUUGUUUUGAAAAUAAUGUUUAAGCAGGAUUAGCAGAAUUCUUUCAAAGUGAAUACAGAUUGUGACCAUUUAAGUUUUGAACAAUCACAGCAAAUUCUGAGUCAUGAUUUUCAUGUUAAGGCAAGCCCUUAUUUUUUUUAAGAUAUUUAAAGGUAUUUUGUUUCUUAAUUUCAGAAUAAUCCUUUUAGGAGUUCCCGUCGUGGCUCAGCGGUUAACGAACUUGACUGGCAUCCAUGAGGUCUCAGGUUCUAUACCUGGCCUCACUCAGUAGGUUCAGGAUGUGGCUUUGUCAUGAACUGCAGUGUAGGUCGCAGAUGCAACUCGGAUUGCACGUUGCUGUGGCUGUGGCAUAGGCUGGCAGCUAGAGCUCUGAUUAGACCCCUAGCCUGGGAACCUCCAUAUGC
ensembl:lncRNA